rnacentral:lncRNA from 1 species
UUUUUUUUUUUUUUUAUUGGUGAUUAAUUGCUCGGUCUAAGGUCAGAGCGCUUCGCAGUGUAAAUGCGUUACGAACACCAUAAGACUUCACACACCAAUUAUUCACUCUAUUCUAGUGGUUUAUUUAACCGUGCAAUGGUUGAGAUCCCUAAAGAUUUAUGCACUAGUACCCAUGUAGCGAGUGUUGGGUCAACAAUCCCAAACCACGAAGGGCUUUAGGUUGUUAGGCACAAAGUCCCCUCAGACUUAAUUACUCGAGUACUAAUGAGCUCAACCUAGUUAAUUCUACCACUUAUUUUU